CCUAUCAUGAACCUUUCUCUACGUCGCAGAGAGCGUCUCGCGAACAGCCAUUGUCAAGGUCCUCUCUGGUCACGGGCAAAACACUGGUAAACGCGCUCGUCGAGACACGCGCGAUCGAGGUCGUUCGCGAUCGUCCCAGGACCACUCUCGCCGAAGGACGACCAUCGACCGAUUAAGACGCAGCAAUUAUUGGCCGGAGACCAGUUCCCGCUAUUCCAGUUCUACGCUGGUUACGUAAUCGUGAUUGUGAGACCGCAUAAAUAUGCUUUGAAUCCGCUAUGUCGUUCUCUUUCUAUCGUCGAUGGACGUCAAAUGCAUUUAAUUCGUCCGUUCGAAGAAGGACACCUUUUCAUAUGAAUUUCAUCAUUUAGCUUGUUCUGUCAUUUCUUUUUUAAACGAACAGGAAACAGCAACGGUAGCUUAUGUAAUGUCAUUUGCGAUUUUAAUUGGUAGGUCUCCAAUAGUCCCUGAUAAUUCUUUCUCUCUUUCUCUAUAUGUCCGUCUCUCUCUCUCCGUCUGUCAUCUUUUACCGGAAGAGGUCGAUCGAUCGAAGAAUCACGAGGUCAUCGUGACGUACGCGAUAUACCGCUAUCCUCUCACCAGCGUGAGAGGUGUCCUUCGUUGGCCUUGUAAUCUCGCUCGUUACCUCAAGGAUAAUGCGAAUUAAUAGCUCGUUACGAAUGCUCCACAUUUCUCUUUCUUUCAUCGAGCCCUACAUCAUCUAAUCGCUGAAUCUAAUCGUAUACGUGCGAUCGUACUCGUAUAUUAUUGCGCCGUUAGUUUUCGAAAUAAAGAAUCGGGUUUAUUCGAGAUCGGGAUUCGUACGAAGAGAUUCGAGGACGUACGAUUACCUUACCAUCCGUCACGUCGAAUUUCCUUUCGGUCUUUUUUCUUUUCGAAGGGAGAAAGUGUGAAGUGAAAUAAGAACAAAGGAAAAUUCGACGCACGACUUCGUCCCGUGGGAUCGACUUUGCCAUCCUCCCUUCCAUCCCGUGACACUUUUAUUUGCAGUAUGGAUGAAAUAGGGAAAGGAGGAAAUGAAAGAAAAAAAAAAAAAACGAGAAAAAAAAUUUUACAAGAGGGUGGCCACACAAUGUCCCGUAUCGUAUUUCACCGGAAUCGACGACGAUGAUCCGAGCUCGUAACGUAAUGUUCUCUCGUUCGGUGGGAAGCAACAAUGGAGGUCAUAAACCGCAACUUCCUUGAAAUGCUUGAGAGUUAAUUACCGAACGCGAUACUUUCUUUCCACUCGAGGUGGUAUAUAUCGGAGCUGAAGGGAUGACGCGAUAAAAUCAAUUACUUCCACGAGUGAUACAUUAUAAUCGUUAUAUCUAUACGUUCGUAUAUCGACAUCGAGAUACAAUCGAUAUUUUCAAAUUUAAAUAUUUUCAAAGCACGUCGAAAAUGUCGAAAAUUGCUUUCUCGCCAAGUUUUUCACGGGACUAUCGUAAGGGAACGAUUUAAGUUAAUCCUCGAUAAAGUCACGGUUCUACCUUAUCCUGCUUUUUUUCUUUCCUUUUUUCUUUUUAUUUCCCUUUUUCUUGUACUUUCCCGCGUCUAUAAUGUAAGAAUCGAUAAAUCUUUGUUACGUUAGUGGAAGCGUGACUAUCGAUGGAAACAUUACUUUCGAUUUCGUUCGUUUGAAAGCUCGAAGAACCCGAAAGUAAGUCGGAUCGGAGGUUGUUAAACGCGUCAACCUUGACUUCUCGUCUAGCGUUACUUCUCCACGUUCUCUGAGCUCUUUGGUUUCGUUAUGGCGACGGCGACGGACUUCGCCUUGAUCGCCCUUCAAAGAUCUUGCCCGAUCUCGGAACGGGAGUUGAAAUGGACGUGAGAUAGAUAGAGAUAAAGAGAUAGAUAGAGAGAGGGAGAGGGAGAGAGAGAGAGAGAGAGAGAGAGAGAAAUAGAGAGAGAUUUGAAGCACUACCGAGAGCCGUACUGUAAUCCUGGGCAAUCAGUGAACAAACAGACGCGUCGAGAAUAAAGAAAUAAAAGAGCGCAAGAAGAAUAUCAAAAAAAGAAAAGAAAAGAAAAGAAUAUCUACGAACACCGUACGUUGCGUUUACCGAAGAGGACGAGCUCGUUCGUUCUUUAAAGAGGCCAACGACUCGCGAUGGCUGACCUCUUGGCGCUCUACCGCGUUACGUUCGAGACGCUUCUACGAAAAGAAAUCCCGAGAAUUUCACGGUCGACUAGGAUGACUUUUCGAGUGAGUAACGCGGCCAGCGAACGUGCAAGCAAUGAGCAAUCAUCGAUCGAUUCUAUCUCUAGUUUGGUUAUCGGACUAUAAUGAUUCGAUGAUUACGAUCGAACGGUAUUGACUACUUACCGGAUGACGUUGGUCUACGUCAUGCACGAGUCUUCGUUUUUUCCCGUUAAACCCGUCAACGUAUACCGUUCUUAGAAACCGUCUGCACUCUACUACAAUUGCAUCGAUGCUUCUAAUCAUAUCUGUAAAAAAAUGUAUGCACAUACGAACGUAAAUAAAACGGAAAAGAAAAAAAAAAGAAACUAAUUUGAGCGCGUGUUAAUUUCACGAAGGCUUAAUUAUGGUAAUCGAUGCGUUUUUCGUGAUUACAUGUUUCACUUUCUAGAGGAGACAAGCAACGGAAUGAAAUGCAACGAUAUACGUGUUCGUUAUCGAGAAACGUUAGCCGCAAGAAUGAAAGAGAAACGAAAGAGUGAAAACGUGUUGCAUUCGUAAAUUACGAGGACGUAGGUAGAUACGUUUGUAUAUAUACGUUUAAUACAUGUGUAAAUGAUUGUGUAGGUCUAUCAUGUUGGUACUAGAAUUGCGGCUAAAUCGAAAUAGCCGAGAGGAAAGCGAUUUCUUUUGAAAGCUAUCGCGGAAAUCUCGGUGAAUUUGCGGAUAAGAUUUCUUUUUUCUUUUCUUUUCAGUUUAAUUUUAGUGGAUUUAGUUGGAAGCUCUACGACCUCGUAUGACUUUUGUAAACUUUAUGACAGUAUUAAAAAAGAAAAAAUAUAUAUAUAUUAAGUUAAAUUAAUCGUUGUGUGUACGUGUGUGUUAUGCCCGUGCGUUAUGUACGAUUAAUAUAAUUUAGACCGAUGUUAUAUAAUCUGAUGUAUUAGAAAUAUUAGAUUAUAUUAAAUAUUCGUAUUAUGUAAUAUGAAUCUAAUACAAGAGACAUUAUAUAAUAUUAUAUAAUAUUAAUCUAAUAUAUUUAUAAAAGACAUUGUCGACGACUGCAUGAAGACGACAGCAGUGCGUAGUUGAAAAAAUCAAUAGGAUCGAUAAUUCAAUGAUAAGAUGACCGAGAGAGAGAGAGAACGUAACGGUCUCGUCAGCUGUGUGAAUUGCGAAGCGAAUAUCGCACGUCGUAUGCUCCUGUCGUUUCGCCUUCUAUUCAAAUAUUUGAGGUAGAAGCUUGCUCGUUGAUACCACUCUUAUCAUCGUCCAUACGGAGGAUCCUCGCGAAAAAGAACGAAUACGAACGCAAAAUUAUUUCGGAUUCCGAACGAGAGACGAAAUAAUGCUCCUCGUCGUUCCAUUUUAAAAGGAACAAAGAAAAUUAAGACCCUUCUAAUUAAAUGAAUAAACGACCGAUGGGACUUCUACUUAAGGGACGAAUCAAGGAGACUCCUUGUUGGGACAUAACAAAGAGCGCAAACAUUUAUCAUUGACUCCUAUAUUCUAUCUCUUUCUAAAUAAAUAAAUAAAUAUAUAUGU